rnacentral:rRNA from 1 species
GAUGAACGCUGGCGGCGUGCCUAAUACAUGCAAGUAGAACGCUGAAGGAGGAGCUUGCUCUUUCCGGAUGAGUUGCGAACGGGUGAGUAACGCGUAGGUAACCUGCCUGGUAGCGGGGGAUAACUAUUGGAAACGAUAGCUAAUACCGCAUAACAGUAGAUAUUGCAUGAUAUCUGCUUGAAAGGGGCAAUUGCUCCACUACCAGAUGGACCUGCGUUGUAUUAGCUAGUUGGUGAGGUAACGGCUCACCAAGGCGACGAUACAUAGCCGACCUAAGAGGGUGAUCGGCCACACUGGGACUGAGACACGGCCCAGACUCCUACGGGAGGCAGCAGUAGGGAAUCUUCGGCAAUGGACGGAAGUCUGACCGAGCAACGCCGCGUGAGUGAAGAAGGUUUUCGGAUCGUAAAGCUCUGUUGUAAGAGAAGAACGAGUGUGAGAGUGGAAAGUUCACAC